UCGAUCUCAUCACCUUCUUUCCCCUCCCACCCCUCUUUUUGAUCCUCGCUUUGGGGCUUGCAAAUUUUUGACAUGUCAAAUGAGAGUGAAGCUAAAAUGUAAACAACAAGUGUUCGCGUGUGCCGUGAUUUUAAUAAACAUAAAAUCAACCACGGAAGUAUGAUUUAGUUGUGGUGGAAGCGAAAAAAAAAUGCUUGGAGCAUGGAAUAAAACCGGAUGAACUUUCUAGCCUUCACGCACGAUGCCGACGCUGAGGUUUUACAGGUGAACAACAAUUAGCAACUCCCGAUCGAAUUGCACACAACAACCACCCACAAUCACAGCUGUAAAAGUAACACGGAUAGGUAGCAAGGAAAUCAAGCUUGUACACAGAAAUCUACACAAAAACUGGGUUUUAUAAGCGCACGAAAAGCGACGCGGCUAUCUUUGAAUAAAAAGUAAACAAAAGAGUUUCGUUUUAAU